GCCUUAGAACUAACGCUGGCAGUGCGUCUUAAGCAUGCAAGUCAAACGGGAUGUAGCAAUACAUCUAGUGGCGAACGGGUGAGUAACGCGUGGAUGAUCUACCUACGAGAUGGGGAUAACUAUUAGAAAUAGUAGCUAAUACCGAAUAAAGUCAAUUAAUUUGUUGAUUGAUGAAAGGAAGCCUUUAAAGCUUCGCUUGUAGAUGAGUCUGCGUCUUAUUAGUUAGUUGGUAGGGUAAAUGCCUACCAAGGCGAUGAUAAGUAAGGGGCCUGAGACGGUGAACGGUCACACUGGAACUGAGAUACGGUCCAGACUCCUACGGGAGGCAGCAGCUAAGAAUCUUCCGCAAUGGGCGAAAGCCUGACGGAGCGACACUGCGUGAAUGAAGAAGGUCGAAAGAUUGUAAAAUUCUUUUAUAAAUGAGGAAUAAGCUUUGUAGGAAAUGACGAAGUGAUGACGUUAAUUUAUGAAUAAGCCCCGGCUAAUUACGUGCCAGCAGCCGCGGUAAUACCUA
rnacentral:rRNA from 1 species